GUGGGGAAUCUUCCACAAUGGACGAAAGUCUGAUGGAGCAACGCCGCGUGAGUGAAGAAGGGUUUCGGCUCGUAAAGCUCUGUUGUCGGGGACGAAUGUGCAGUAUUUGAAUAAAGUACUGUAAUGACGGUACCUGACGAGGAAGCCACGGCUAACUACGUGCCAGCAGCCGCGGUAAUACGUAGGUGGCAAGCGUUGUCCGGAAUUAUUGGGCGUAAAGGGAGCGCAGGCGGGAAGGUAAGUCGGUCUUAAAAGUGCGGGGCUCAACCCCGUGAUGGGAUCGAAACUAUCUUUCUUGAGUGCAGGAGAGGAAAGUGGAAUUCCUAGUGUAGCGGUGAAAUGCGUAGAUAUUAGGAGGAACACCAGUGGCGAAGGCGACUUUCUGGACUGUAACUGACGCUGAGGCUCGAAAGCCAGGGGAGCGAACGGGAUUAGAUACCCGUGUAGUCC
rnacentral:rRNA from 1 species